rnacentral:rRNA from 1 species
GAUGAACGCUGGCGGCGUGCCUAAUACAUGCAAGUCGAGCGAACGGACGAGAAGCUUGCUUCUCUGAUGUUAGCGGCGGACGGGUGAGUAACACGUGGAUAACCUACCUAUAAGACUGGGAUAACUUCGGGAAACCGGAGCUAAUACCGGAUGAUAUUUUGAACCGCAUGGUUCAAAAGUGAAAGACGGUCUUGCUGUCACUUAUAGAUGGAUCCGCGCUGCAUUAGCUAGUUGGUAAGGUAACGGCUUACCAAGGCAACGAUGCAUAGCCGACCUGGGAGGGUGAUCGGCCACACUGGAACUGAGACACGGUCCAGACUCCUACGGGAGGCAGCAGUAGGGAAUCUUCCGCAAUGGGCGAAAGCCUGACGGAGCAACGCCGCGUGAGUGAUGAAGGUCUUCGGAUCGUAAAACUCUGUUAUUAGGGAAGAACAUAUGUGUAAGUAACUGUGCACAUCUUGACGGUACCUAAUCAGAAAGCCACGGCUAACUACGUG